UGGGCUUCGCCUAGCGAGCAUGACAGUUCAGGAAAUUCCUCUGAGCGCAGGUGAUUCUGGUGGCUUUUCUUGGGACUCGCUAGGCGACCCAUUCUGCUCGCCUAGCGAGCAUGACAGCUCAUGAACAAACUUUUGCUCCUUCAAGAUUAACAUUUUGAAAGUAACUCAAGUUAUUCCCUGGCCAUUUCCUCUUCAGUUGACCAACAGUUGACUUCUGGCUUCAUAGUUGAAUUUUGAAUCGUACUGAGCCCAUUAAGCUUUAUCCUUUAAAGAAAACCUCUAGUUGAUGCGCAAUCUCCCUUGUGUUGACUGAUCCUUCAGAUAGAACCCACAAAGUGACUUGGAUGAUAUCUAAGCUUCUUGGACGACAAACUCUUGGAGCUAAUACUGAUUGACAUGGUGAAAUGCAAUAUGAAAUGUUAAAUGACCUAAAAUGAAUGCAUGAAUGAGGAGGGCAAAUUUGAGGUGCUACAAAUGCCAUAUUCUAUAACUCUAUAGGCAAAGAACUGAAUUGCCAAGGUUUAUAACCUUAAAGGCAAAGGAAGGCCUUGCCAAGGUCUAUAACCUGAUAGGAAAGAGAGAUUGCAAAGCUCUAUCACCUUAAAGGAAAAAGAAUGAAUUGCCGAGGUCUAUAACCUGAUAGGCAAGAAAGAUUGCCAAGGUCUAUUACCUUAAAGGCAUAAAGAAGGCAACUAAUUGAAGGAGGGUGUACAACCACAAAGUGUUGGACACUAAAGAGAAUGUGACCCAAAGAGAGGGUGUGAUUAGUGAUCCAAAGAGGAAAGAGUGAUUGAUGUACCUGAAGAAGACUUUGUCAAUUACUUGAUUUGACUUACACUAAAGUCUAUGAAAGAAGGCGAAUGAUUUAAAUAGCUAGGGCAUAUGCUCCAUAUGUAAAGGCACUCUAGACAAGGGUAGGAGAGACUUCAUCUCAUCCUUCUUCGUUGCUUAAGGCUCAUGGCGUGUAACUCUCAUUGUAAUUAACAAGUAGCUGUUAGGAGAUUCUGAUUAUCGAUCCUGAUGAUGUAAUGUUAAUUGUUGUAAGAGGAGACUUGACAAUCAUUUGAUUCGUAUUAUAUUAAAGUCUAUGAACGAAGGAGAAUUCUUUGAAUAGCUAGGGCCUACGCCCCAUACACAAAGACACUCUAGACAAGGGUACGGGAAACUUCAUAUCAUCAUUCUUUGUUGCUUAAGGCUCAUGGCAUGCAACUUGAAUAAAGAUUGACAAGUGUUGAGGAAGAUCCUCUUGAUGUCGGGCCUUGAACAGUGCUUCAAUCUUCAUAGUCUUUCAUAAGAAGCUUGACUUGAUAGGACCUUGUAUCUGAGAUGAACCGAGGUAUAUAAUUGGUCUUGAAAGCCUGGACAAUGCCUUGAACUGGAAUUGACUGGAUUAGCUUGAUGGUGAAGCAGGCAAGGAGCAAUCUUAUAAAGUGAUCAAAAUCACUUGACUGGAAGGGGGCUUAAGCAACAAUGUAAGGAUAGACUAACCAAAAAUUACCUUGGUCAAUUCAUCAAGGUAUGAAUUAGGAAGUAUAAAGUCCUAAAGAUCAAAGAUGUUAUUAUGCAUAAAUUCUACCAAUAGAACUAAUCUUAAUUAAUUUCUAUUUGAAAAAAAGUCCAAAGCUUAUGUUCAAUUUUCAACACAUUAAUAUCUAAAAGAAAUUAAGUGUUCAUAUUUUUUUAAAACAAUAAUAAUUUACAAUUAAUGGAUGAAAAAUGAAUUAAUCAUUAAUAUUUUCCAUAAAAAUAUUUGCAUAAAAUAUGUAUUUAAAAUUUAUAAUAAAAAUAAAUCAAAUUAAAUGAAACAUAAGCAAAAAAUAGAAAAUAAAAUAAAAUAACAUGGGGGGGGGGGGGGGGUUUAAACCAAGCAGAAUGGGGCUUUAACAAGCCACAAUUUGGCGUAGGCCCAUACGAAGGCCCAAGGCUUACUUGAGUUUCAUCUAGAGGGGGUAAAUGUGAAAUUCAAGGGUGUGAAUAGCCAAUGGAUUGGGCCUAAGGCCCAAGGGAAUCUAAUACAUGUGCUCAAGAAAGUUCAGGUCAUUCAAUUCAAAAGUCAACGUGUUUCCAAGCUUCACCGAUCUCCUUAUGUCUCUGGCGUGCCGAUUUUUCCUCUGGCGGCGGCGAAAGUCGUAUCAUCACCUGAACCACAUCGCUAAAACCAUUUCUUCGCUCUAAACCUAAUUAUAGAGUGAAUUUGUCAUAAAUCCCAGCCAAUCCUCCUAAUCGAGGUUUCUAGUGGAGGAACCCUAGAUAUUGCAACUGAAAUUAAAUGACGAAUUAACAUGGAAUCAAAUAAUAAACCUAGGGUUAUUGCUCCUUGAAAGGAGCUUUACACAGUGGUAACAAUAAAUCAGCAGAAAGAUGGAAGAAUAAAUACCUCUGAAACAGAGGCUUGUUCCGACGAGAUGAUGGAUUGAAGAAGAUGAAUCAAAAAGGCUUUGAAUCAGGUAAUAGGCUCUUAUUUUCCUUGUUGUGGUUAAUCUUCAAUUCCUCCACUCUCCUUCUUCUUUUCUUCCCCGUUCUUCUGUUGAACUCACAUGUGAGAGAGAGAUACGAAUGGGAGUGAUUGAAAUUGAGUAUUCGUGAAUCUUGUCGUGUGUGUAAAGACGAUGAUUGUUCAGAAUGAGAAUAUGAGGUUGAGCUCCACUCCAUUGAAGCUUCAAUUUGGAGCUUUAAUGGAGAAUGUCGAAGGAGAUUUUGUGAGGGUGAGGAGAUAGAUUCUGAGAGAGAAUUGAAUUAGGAGAGUGAAGAUUGAGAUUGAGAAAUUAUUGAGACUUGUGAAAAAUAG
rnacentral:lncRNA from 1 species